ACGAGGAGGAUUAACCACGCAAAUUACCCACUUUAAGCUAGGAUGCACAAACCCCUACCCGUUUUACCCAAAUAGCACCGUCUCAUUAUACAUAAAACACUAAGCCAUCUUGUUUGCCAAACUUAUUUGCGCCAGAUUUGAUAAAGUCUAAAAAGGUUUUCAUUCUUCACUGCUCUUGUGCUGAUCAGUUCUUCCCCACCAUUGAUUCAUCACCAUAAUCGGCAGAUGACAUCAAAUUCGACUUUAUUUGGAGUCGUAUCCUCCUAACCCUCAUCUAACUUCGAUUUCAACGAAGCAGACAAGGAUUCAAAGGCCAUUAAAAGGUAAGUCCCCUUUCUUUUUUUAUUUUUUUUAUUUUAAAAUCAGUUUGUAAAAAACGAAAAAGCAAAAAAAAUCACAAAUAUGAAACGAAAAUCCCAGGGAAAAGAAUUGAAAAAACAACCUCUUAAAUCUUGGAUCCGGUUUCUUUUCGAUUGCUAUGGAUUUUUGUGUAUGUUCUCUGCUAUUAGAUUCAAAAAAACAAAAAAACCCUCCCAUUUACACUCGGUUUGAUUCGGUUUUAUAGUCGAAUGGAAAAAAACAAAAAAGAACUUCUUUGCUGCUCUUUUUGCGCUUGUUUGCAGGUGCGUGGUGGACGUGGGCUCUGACAUGGAGGCGCGAGUGGCGCGGCGCACGGAGCGAAAGGCAGCGCGACGUACGGCGCUUGGGGUUGGCUUGCGACGCUAGGGUUGCUGAAAUCGUUUUAGAUUUGAGGGCCAAUUGGGCCAUGUUGUAAAUGGGUAUUAGAAUUGGGUUUGUAUUAGGCUUGUAUUGGGCUUUAUUUUAGUUUUUAUGUUGGGUAUGUAAUUUGGACUUUGUUUUUUUUAUUUGGUCUGCUUUUGUUUUGGUUUUGGUAUUGUUCUGGGCCCUGGGCGAAAUGGGCCGUCUACAGCUUCCCCUCUUUGCUCAUUGUCGUGUAACGAGAAUUGAGCAAAGACCUUAAAAGAGUCAUUUUGCCCGUUCUUGUCAUAUCUUGACCUCUUUAUGCUCAUCUUCUUCAAGUAGCCCCACUCUACCUCACUGCAUCUUCAGGGAUAUAGGAAUUGUGCUUUCAAUCCACUCCACGUCCUUAACCUGCUCCAUUGCGACUUCUGGAAUAUAAAAUUUGCAAUUUUCAGCCUAUCACCCUACUGCUUAGGAGGUUAAGGCUCGUAUCUUCAAACUGCUCUCUUGCUACCUCAGAGAGAUAAGGCCGGUGGCUAAAAUCUACUCCAUAGCCGAGACAUGGAGAUAAGACUCUCCAUUUUUGAUCUGCUCCAUAGCCGAUACAUGGAGAUAAGAUUUGUAAUUUACAGCCUGUAACCCUACUAUUUAGGGGGUUAAGGCUCGUAUCUUUAACCUGCUCUCUUGUUACCUUAGAGAGAUAAGGCUGGUGGCUAAAAUCUGCUCCAUAGCUGAUACAUUGAUAUAAGACUCGCCAUUUUUUAUUUGCUCCAUAGCUGAUACAUGGUGAUAAAUUCUGUAAUUUGCAGCCUGUUACCCUACUGCUUAGGGGGUUAAGGCUCGCUGUCUUCGAUCUGCUCCAUUACUGUUUAGGGAAAAUCUGUAUUUUUCAGCCUGUUACCCUACUACUUAGGGGGUUAAGGCUUGCGAAUUCACCGAUGCCACUGUACUGUUCUCUGAGGAACAUGAUCUGUAAAAUCGGUUUCCUGUAUCUAUACUUAUGCCAAAUAAUUAGGAUGCUAUGAUUGCAAUGAAUCAAAUGCUCUUAACUAGAUGUAAUGCGUAUGUCAAAUAAUUAGGAUGUUAUGAUUGAAAUGAAUCAAAUGCCCCUAACUAGAUGUAUCAUGAAUGACAUUUGUAUGAAUGCAGAUUGUCGUGAGAAUUUCCUUUUUAACGUUUAGGCUAUUAUUGCUCGCUGUUUGUCAUUGAUGUAUUUCUUCUCGUUCAACUAAUAUCUUUAACAGACAUCUGAAGCAAUAGUCUUAACUUAAACUUUUUACUUCUCAAGUAACUCUAACCCUCAAG
rnacentral:lncRNA from 1 species